rnacentral:rRNA from 1 species
GCACAAGCGGUGGAGCUAUGUGGUUUAAUUCGAAGCAACGCGAAGAACCUUACCAGGUCUUGACAUCCCUGACAACCCGAGAGAUCGGGCGUUCCCCUUCGGGGGACAGGGUGACAGGUGGUGCAUGGUUGUCGUCAGCUCGUGUCGUGAGAUGUUGGGUUAAGUCCCGCAACGAGCGCAACCCUCGACCUUAGUUGCCAGCAUUCAGUUGGGCACUCUAAGGUGACUGCCGGCUAAAAGUCGGAGGAAGGUGGGGAUGACGUCAAAUCAUCAUGCCCCUUAUGACCUGGGCUACACACGUGCUACAAUGGGCGGUACAAAGGGCAGCGACACAGCGAUGUGAAGCCAAUCCCGAAAAGCCGGUCUCAGUCCGGAUUGGAGUCUGCAACUCGACUCCAUGAAGUUGGAAUCGCUAGUAAUCGUGGAUCAGCACGCCACGGUGAAUACGUUCCCGGGCCUU